CGAGUAUUGGUACGUCAUUGUAUAGCAAAACUUAACGUACAAUUUUUCAUUGCAAUUUAACUUGAAAUUUGCGUUACAAGUUUCUGGAAGAAGGAUUAAAAAUGUUUCAGCUGGAUCAAGUUACAGCAUCUUGGAUGAAAUGAGAUCGGCUUUACCACGUAUCAAAUUCUCUACAUCUAACGAGACAUAAUUAUGUACCACUAAAUUAUAAAGAUGUCUUCUCUAUGGCAACAUUAGGAAAUGCUAAAGCGCUUUCGAUUGAGGACAAAAUCGGUAACUUGAUGUCAAGCAAAGAAUUUGAUGCUCUCGUCAUAGAUUUGGAAGCAGGAAACAGCUUGUUGGAUAACUUCAGAAAAUAUACACUCGAGGAAAAACUCCAAAGAUUUAUAUUUUCCGGCAAUGAUAAUAAUAUAGUAUCAGUUUAUGUAAAGG